rnacentral:misc_RNA from 1 species
AAGGAUCAUUACCUAGAGUUGCGGGCUUUGCCUGCCAUCUCUUACCCAUGUCUUUUGAGUACCUUCGUUUCCUCGGCGGGUCCGCCCGCCGACUGGACAACACUUAAACCCUUUGUAAUUGAAAUCAGCGUCUGAACAAACUUAAUAGUUACAACUUUCAACAACGGAUCUCUUGGUUCUG